rnacentral:sRNA from 1 species
CCUUUUAUUGAAAGGGGGACGGAGGCCCCCCUCUGAAAUUUUAACCACUACCCCACAAAAUGCCUCCCCCCCACCUCAUCAUAAACCUUCACCACCAAACAAAAACCUCCAGAACUCCUCACCAAUAACUUCGUAUACAUCUUCGUAUAAAAAACCAUUGAAAGUUUAGGAUUAGCGGGUGGCGGGUUGGAGGGGGGGGGGGGGUUGGGUUUUAGGUAUUACAACUUUCAGCUACGGAUCUCUUUGGCUUUCGCAUCGAAUUAGUUCGCAGCGUAAUGCGUUAUGUAAUGUCGAUUGCAGAUCUACUGGGAUUCUUCAAAUCUUUGAACGCAGCUUGCACUCCUCGGUGUUCCGAGUGUAUGGUGUUUGAGUGUCAGUUGAUUCUGGGGUUUUUCUUUAGCUUGUGAGCCGCUUGCUAGUUUGGGGCGGGGGGUCGAAUUCCCCCAGACUCGGGCUCUUCUGAUAGGGGGCGGCUUGGGGGCGACUUUUCGACUAUGUGCGAGAGGGGUUUUCGGCGUGAUUUUGAUCGCCGGUUCGCUUAAGGCGCAUAAACCGAAAGGUCCCGCGCCCUCUUAUAGGGCCGAGCAACUUAGUAUCUCUCCGGUGAGGUAGGGGGCCUUUCCUAAUUGACUUUUUGAGCCCAAUUCGGUAGGUCUUCCCCGCUGUUCUUUAGCGUUUUAAUUAGCGGGGAGGAUG